CGAUGCUACACGAAGAACCUUACCAGGGUUUGACAUGCAAGUGGUAGGAAUCUGAAAAGGGACCGACCUUCGGGAGCUUGCACAGGUGCUGCAUGGCUGUCGUCAGCUCGUGUCGUGAGAUGUUCGGCUAAGUCCGCUAACGAGCGCAACCCUCACUGUGUGUUAUAUGUGUCACACGGGACUGCCGGUUUUAAGCCGGAGGAAGUGGGAUGACGUCAAGUCAGCAUGGCCUUUAUAUCCUGGGCUACACACACGCUACAAUGGUCGGUACAAUAGGUUGCCAAGCCGCGAGGCGGAGCCAAUCCACAAAGCCGGCCUCAGUUCAGAUUGUAGGCUGCAACUCGCCUGCAUGAAGCCGGAGUUGCUAGUAACCGCAGGUCAGCUAUACUCGCGGUCGAUACGUCCGGCCUU
rnacentral:rRNA from 1 species